AUGGAGCAUUUUAUUAGAGGCAGAUUUAUUCUGUAUUUCCUUAGCACCACUGUAAAAGCUUUCCAUUUUGUAAUAAAGUUUCCAUUGUCUCAUGUUUUAAAAUAUUGCUUCUUUUCUAAGACUGAAAUUUAAGAAAAUAUUGCCACCUUGAGUAUUUUACCUGCUGAAGAAUAUCUAACACAUCUAUAAAAUCUGUUAUUCUUUCCUCAGAUCUUUAAGGAGUCCAAAAUUCUGGGAAUUUGUAUUUAUUUCUUUGAUGUUAUUCAAUGAUAACACAUGAAAAUAUACAAAAAUCUCCUAAGUUUAUUAGUUAAUUAUGUAAAAUUGAAUAUUCUAUUAUUUGCCUACUCAUUUAGGAAGCUGGGUACUCAUAAUUUUUAAAAGUUUUCAUAUGUAAUUAGAACUUCUUUUUUUAAGUAGAAGAGAUGAAAUCUGCGUGAUGGAGUGCUGAUGAGUCCACAAGAUUUGUGCUUUAAUGUUUGCUAUUUUACAGUUUAACUAACUAAAAAGAUGAAAUCAUUAAGCAAAAGGGAUAUAAAAGAAUUGCUGGUAUAGCCUAUGGGAGACUAUCUUAUUAUUUUUCUAAGAUUCUCUCUACUUUUUAGUCAGCAAUUUUCCUUUUAAUGGCAUGAUAGUAGCCCUGAGACUAAGAGAUGAAACAUUUUUAUUUUGUUAAAUGCACUAUUAAACUAAUACUCUGCAUUUAUAGCUCUGAAAUAUGUGUUACUUAUUAGAGGUUUCCUGAUUUUCUGUGAGUUAAUAAAUCUCCAGAAUUUUUCUACUCAUAUAGUUUUAUGGAACUUAUCAAUAUUAUGCCCUUACUAUGUGUGUGUGAGUGUGUGUAACUCAUGUGGAAAACAGUCAUUUACUAAUAAAAACAAGUACUACUCUUAUUUCUUACUUCAAACUAAAGUACCAAAAUGGACAGUGCUACCUACAUGAUUCUUUAGUUGCUUACUCUUUACUUCCUAGUGACCUAGAUAACCAAACUGAUAUUUGUGUAAGCAGUGGAUCAAUAAUUUGUCAUAUGGUGAUAUCAUUGGGCUUUUUAAUAUAAGAUUUUAAAGCAUACAUAUACAUUAGUAGCAACUUUAAAAAUAACAAAACAACAGUUUUAAACCUGUCAAUAAAAUAUCAAGACCCUUUAAUUUCUUCUUUACCAAAAUGGAUGCCUCUUACUUCUUUUUCUUGUCUGAUUGCUGUGGCUAGGACUUCUAGUACUACUGUUGAGUAAAUGUGGUGAGUGAACAUCUUUGUCUUGUUGCUGACCUUAAGAGGGAAAGCCCUCAGUUUUUCCCCAUUGAAUAAUAUUAACUGUGGGGUUUUCAUAUGUGGCCUUUUUAUGUUGAAGUUGACAGUUCUUACUUUUUGUUGAAAGUUUUUUACUAUGAAUGGAUGUUGAAUCUUGUCAAAUGCUCUUUCUGCAUCUAUUGAGAUGAUCAUAUAACUUUUAUCCUGAUUUUGUUGAUGUGGUGUAUGGUUGACUGAUUUCUGAAUAUUAACCAUCCUUACAUCCCAGAAAUAAAUCCCAACUGAUUAUGGUAAAUGAUUUCUUCAGUGUAUUGUUGGACGCAGUUUGCUAAUAUUUUGUUGAGGAUUUUUGCAUCUGUGUUCAUCAGGGAUAUUGGCUUGUGGUUUUCUUUAUUUGUUGUGUCUUUGGUUUCUAUAUCAGGGUAAUGCUGGCCUUGUAGCAUAACGCUGAGCAUAUAAUUGGCUUCACUAUUUGGAAGCUUUCUUUCCUUCUUCUGUUUUUUUGGAAUACU
rnacentral:lncRNA from 1 species